UACGGAGGGAGCUAGCGUUGUUCGGAAAUACUGGGCGUAAAGCGCACGUAGGCGGCGCAGCAAGUCAGGGGUGAAAUCCCGGGGCUCAACCCCCGGAACUGCCCUUGAAACUGCAGUGCUAGAAUUCUGGAGAGGCGAGUGGAAUUCCGAGUGUAGAGGUGAAAUUCGUAGAUAUUCGCAAGAACACCAGUGGCGAAGGCGGCUCACUGGCCCGAUACUGACGCUGAGGUGCGAAAGCGUGGGGAGCAAACAGG
rnacentral:rRNA from 1 species